rnacentral:rRNA from 1 species
UACGUAGGGAGCAAGCGUUGUUCGGAUUUACUGGGCGUAAAGGGCGCGUAGGCGGCAGAUCAAGUCAGUUGUGAAAUCUCUGAGCUUAACUCAGAACUGUCAACUGAUAUUGCUCUGCUAGAGUGCGGAAGGGGCAAUCGGAAUUCUUGGUGUAGCGGUGAAAUGCGUAGAUAUCAAGAGGAACACCUGAGGUGAAGACGGGUUGCUGGGCCGACACUGACGCUGAGUGCGCGAAAGCCAGGGGAGCAAACGGG